GAUGAACGCUGGCGGCGUGCUUAACACAUGCAAGUCGAACGUGAGGGUGCAGCGAUGUGCCUGAAAGUGGCGAACGGGUGAGUAACACGUAGAUGACCUGCCCUGGAGUGGGGGAUAACCAUUGGAAACGGUGGCUAAUACCGCAUACAUCCGGAGAACUGGGAAGUUUUCUUGGGGAAAGGCUCUGGUGCUUCAGGAGGGGUCGUGCGUCCGAUUAGCUAGUUGGUGGGGUAAAGGCUCACCAAGGCGACGAUCGGUAGCUGGUCUGAGAGGACGAUCAGCCACACGGGAACUGAGACACGGUCCCGACUCCUACGGGGGCGAGCAGUGAGGAA
rnacentral:rRNA from 1 species